rnacentral:rRNA from 1 species
GAUGAACGCUGGCGGCGCGCCUAAUUCAUGCAAGUCGAGCGAACAGACGAGGAGCUUGCUCCUCUGACGUUAGCGGCGGAAGGGUGAGUAACACGUGGAUAACCUACCUAUAAGACUGGGAUAACUUCGGGAAACCGGAGCUAAAACCGGAUAAUAUAUUGAACCGCAUGGUUCAAUAGUGAAAGACGGUUUUGCUGUCACUUAUAGAUGGAUCCGCGCCGCAUUAGCUAGUUGGUAAGGUAACGGCUUACCAUGGCAACGAUGCGUAGCCGACCUGAGAGGGUGAACGGCCACACUGGAACUGAGACACGGUCCAGACUCCUACGGGAGGCAGCAGUAGGGAAUCUUCCGCAGUGGGCGAAAGCCUGACGGAGCAACGCCGCGUGAGUGAUGAAGGUCUUCGGAUCGUAAAACUCUGUUAUUAGGGAAGAACAAAUGUGUAAGUACCUAUGCACGUCUUGACGGUACCUAAUCAGAAAGCCACGGCUAACUAGGUG